rnacentral:lncRNA from 1 species
GAGGAGGUGAAGCCUGAGGGAGGAAGAAAAACUCCUGUCUUAGGCAGGAGCCAGGAACAUGGGACCGACCGUCAUGGUCUGGACCUACUGGGCUCAGGGCUAGGAUGCAUGGACGUUUUGGGGAAACAUCCCAACUCACAGUCACACUUGGAGGAGAAGAGGAUGAGUGCCCACAGUCAGGCACAGGAUCUGCUUCAACCAGGGACUAGUGGAGCAUCUCUGGGCACAAUGAGACCAAAGGCUCUGAUGGCCCCAGUGCAGCUGGGCUGGGACCUGCUGUACCUAAACUCGUGAUGCGGGCUGGCACAAGUCCCAGCAGGAGAGGCAGCCAGCAGCAGCAAGCUGACAUGGGCUCUGCUCUACCCCAAGCCUCUCAAGAGCAGGUCUGUCUGCCGUUCUCACCCCUUGGGGGUUACUUGUUAUCCAGCAUAUCCACAGCAGCAGCUAGGAAACUCCCUGGGAAACUGUAGAGGUCAAGAGAGAGAGAGACUGCCUGCUCACGCCCAGCCCAGGCAGAGCUAGUCAGCUUCAACACAAGAAAAGCACAACCAACGCCCUGACUUUCUCUCCCAUGGUCUCGAUGACUCAAGGGCCCCAGAAGUGCACAGGUCAUUCAGAGUGCCUGCAAGGGCUAUUCUGCUGCCUGGAAGACAAAG